GGAAGUGACGUCCCUUGGGUCCCAUACCCCUGAGAGUCGGUCAGGCCCCUCUCUCCGGCUUGCCUUCAUGGGCCGGCUGGAGUGAACACUGAGCAGGGGCCGCAGGACUCUCACCACUGGCUUGCCUUAACCGGCCGUCCAGAGUGGGGUGUCAGAGCUAUAUGCUCGCAGGGUGGAAGUGAAAUUUGCUGUACACCUCUCCACACCCUGAGCCGCUCAUGCAAUGUUGUCCUCUUGUCGCUCCGUGCGAGCGACCUUUUUCGGGGACCCAUAUAGUGAGUUGGCGAGUCACCACCUGUCCAUUUUUUCGUGUUUUUAAACAUAAAUUGGGGCAGGUGCCAUAGUAUUUCCAUAGACCCGGUUACCAGUACACUAACAUCUCAACACAAUAGCCCAGUUUCUUUUGUUUCUUAUCAUUGCAAUAGUCCUACACUAACGGGGCUUAUCCUUGGGUGCAUUACUAUAGUGCAUACAGGGAUAAUCGUCGGGUGGUGUCACAUCACCUUUUAGAGUAAAUUGUCUUUUUACAAGGGGCCUCUGCGUGUUGGCUUUGGCUCCACGCACGCCUUCCAAAUGUCCGGGACCCCAUGGUCCCGAGAUUAUGUAAAGGACGAACAUAAUAAUAAUAA